ACAGCUGCUACGUGGAGUGGA
rnacentral:miRNA from 1 species